GUGAGGACUGCCGGUGACAAAACCCGGAGGAAGGUGGGGAUGACGUCAAGUCCUCAUGGCCCUUAUGGGUAGGGCUUCACACGUCAUACAAUGGUCGGUACAGAGGGUUGCCAAGCCGCGAGGUGGAGCCAAUCCCUUAAAGCCGAUCGUAGUCCGGAUCGUAGUCUGCAACUCGACUACGUGAAGUCGGAAUCGCUAGUAAUCGCAGAUCAGCAUGCUGCGGUGAAUACGUUCCCGGGUCUU
rnacentral:rRNA from 1 species